GGCUGGUUAGCUCAGUCAGUUGAGCGUGGUGCUAACAUCGCCAAAGUCACGGGUUCGAUUCCCGUUUGGUCCC
rnacentral:tRNA from 1 species